AAGCCACCGUCGCGUCGGCUUCCGUCCCCGCCGCCACCACCGCGUCGCUCUCCGUCCCCGCCACAGCCGCCACGUACUUAUCCUAAGCCACCGUCGCGUCGGCUUCCGUCCCCGCCGCCACCACCGCGUCGCUCUCCGUCCCCGCCACAGCCGCCACGUACUUAUCCUAAGCCACCGUCGCGUCGGCCUCCAUCCCCGCCGGCCCCAGCACCACCUGCCGCUGAAGAGCUGACAGAGGCCGGCACCGAGGAACGGAAACAAUCGCCACCGCCACACCAGACGCCGGGUGCUGCUCCUGGGCCGAAGACUCCUCCCCCGUGGUCGUGGCAGCCGCCGGUCCCUGUCUCGCCUCCUUCUCCGGCGCCGGCGCCGCCUCAUGGUGCAGAGGAACAGCCGAAGAAGAGGCAGAAGCAACCGCAACCGCAAGAGACCAACGCCACGAAACGGGCGGAAGAGCUAGGCGGUGGAGCGAGAGGCACGAAGGUGGUGGACAAAGCCGCUAGGGAUGAGAAGCGACCCAAGAAGGACAGCCAAGCUGGGGCAUCGCCAGCGGUGCCGAGUCACGCUCAGACGACGGAGACCGUGAGGCCGGAGCCGGCGCGGCAGCUGCUGGUGAACGCUGCGGCGGCGGUGGCCGUGCUCGCUGGGGUCAUCGCGGCCGUAUGGCGCACCUUGCAAUGAACAGUG
rnacentral:misc_RNA from 1 species